UACGGGGGAUGCAAGCGUUAUCCGGAUUUAUUGGGUUUAAAGGGUGCGUAGGCUGUGAGGUAAGUCAGCGGUGAAAUGCCCCCGCUCAACGGGGUGAGGUGCCAUUGAUACUGCCUUGCUGGAAUGCGGAUGCCGUGGGAGGAAUGUGUGGUGUAGCGGUGAAAUGCAUAGAUAUCACACAGAACACCGAUUGCGAAGGCACCUCACGAAUCCGCGGUUGACGCUGAUGCACGAAAGCGUGGGUAUCAAACAGG
rnacentral:rRNA from 1 species